CUGGUAAAUCAGGAAGGAAAACAGGCCAGGGUUAGGAAAGCUGCUCCAUGGUCCAGGCUGCUCUGAGGGGCAGAGCCUUCCCACCGUGCUGCUGCAGCAUCUGGCUUCAUCCCUCCCGAGUCCAUCCCAGUCUGAUCAGGUAGGGGAGUGGAAGCGGGAGAGGGAGCCUGGGAACCCGGGAGGCCUCUUCUCUAUCAUCUUUGACCAAAUCUCAGUGCCUCUACGAAUGCUUGAGAAGAGCUGGCUUCUGAGGGCAGCAGGCAGGACUGGGCCCUUCCUCCUGGUCUCCCAGCAAGGUUUACUUUCCCCUGCGAUAGGUGGCCAAGGCUGGAGCAAGGCACAGCUCACUCUGACAAGAUAAACUGCAAGAAAUGUGAGAGGCGACAAGAGAAGGAAAAGGCAGGUCAGUGGGGUGGCUCAAGCCUGUAAUCCCAGCAUUUUGGGAGGUUGAGACAGGAGGAUCACUUGAAGCCAGGAGUUCGAGACCAGCCUGGGCAACAUAGUGAGAUACUGUCUCUACAAAAAAGAAAAAAAAAAAAAAAGGAAAAGCAGCACAUGGUCCAGUGCACCAAGGUUGGGGAAGUGUGAGAAGGGAGGUCAGCAGAGACAAGGCUGAGGCCUGCAGUGCACCUGCCACUGGGGCCUAGCUCCUGCUCCCUUCAGCCCUGCAGCCUGCAGCCCCCUCACUGCUACUGGCAGCCCUGCUCCUGACUCCUCAGUCCCCCUCCUGUGCUGCCCUGGCCCUCUCGGCAGGCUCUCCCUUCUUCCGCAACUCCUUCAGGGCAUCCUUGAAUGAGGGUCACAGUGAGCAGCUCUGGCCAUGCCCCACCAGGCUGCACCCACGGCUCUUCCUUUCCUCAUGGCCCCUCUGGAGAGUGACAGGGGAUGGGCUUGCCUGUCCUCCUUGUGGUCCAUGUCUCCAUUCCUAGCCACUACUCUCUGGAGGACCCCAAAGGAACCUCAAACCAAUUUGCUUCAGAAUUGUUUCUUAACCCCCCUUCUCUCUGUCCAUUUCAUCACCAUAAUCCAGGCCGCUCGACACAUCUCUUCCUAACUAUUCACCUGCUCCAGGCUUGUCUUCUCAAUCUGUCCUCAAAGCUGCCUCCAAUGACCCACCUAUGUAACUUGACCACCCCAUAACUCUGCUUUCUACCUCUUAGGAGCUUCCCAACUUUCGGGACAGUCAAGACUCCCUGCACGGCCCACCCAGCCUCCUCACCUCUCUUCACACCAGUCUCAACUUUUAGAGUCCAGCAGCUUCCAAUCACUUCUUUGCACACUCUGCGCUGCUGGCCUCCUCACUUUGUGCUUGCUGUUCCCUCUGCCUAGAAUGCCCUUAUCUGGAGACCUGGCUUAGACCACACCCAUUCCAUGACGCCACCCCGGAUUGCCCCUUUCCUGUGCUUUCAGAGCCCACCAGCCCUUCUCAGCCUCCAAGGACACAGGACAUCAGCUCAGGGCCUUGAAGGAGCCCUAGUCAGCGUGGUCCUGAGUCACCAAGUCUGUCAAGGCCAACAGGACUGAGACCUCCACAAACUGACGCUGAAGUCUAAGGACCUUUUUCCUUGUUCCACCCCACUGCGCCUCAGAUGUUUCCAGGAGUUUCUGAAGGUCAUGUUAACUAGAAUUUACUCUUAAAACCAAAGACACAGAAAUAAACGUUAAGCAUAGUAUUUGCAUAGUCUUUUAGAAGAACAUAGGAAACUAAAAGAAUGAUCAACCUAAACAGAAUAAUUUCCAUAAGGAAAAAGAAAAGGUUGCCAGGCCAGGCACAGUGGCUCACACCUGUAAUCCCAGCACUUUGGGAGGCUGAGACAGGCAGAUCGCCUGAAGUCAGGAGUUCAAGACCAGCCUGGUCAACAUGGCGAAAUCCUGUCUCUACUGAAAAUACAAAAAUUAGCCAGGCGUAGUAGUGCGUGCCUGUAAUCCCAGCUACUCGGGAAGCUGAGGCAGGAGAUUCGCUUGAACUCAGGAGGCAGAGGUUGCAGUGAGCCAUAAUCACACUACUGCACUCCAGCCUGGGUGACAGAGCGAGACUCCAUCUCAAAAAAAAAAAGGAAACGUGUCAAAGAGCUACCCUCCACAAGCACCAAGCACUGACAAUCACAAGGACUUCUACUAGACAGGCAGAGUGGGUAUUCCAAUACUAUUCAAUUGUUCCACAGCACAGAAAAGAAAAAAUUCUAAAUUCUUUCUAUGGAACAAAAAAAUCAUCAAUGACACCUGACCAAAGAUGGCACACACACACACACACACACACACACACACACACACACACUACAGUCCAACCCCACUAAUGAAUACAAAAAUCCUAACACUAGCAAACAGAACCAUUAAAAUCUAUUAACAGGGGCCAGGCGCUGUAGCUCAUGCCUGUAAUCCCAGAGUUUUGGGAGGCCAAGGCGGGUGGAUUGCCUGAGCUCAGGAGUUUGUGACCAGCCUGGGCAACAUGGUGAAACACCGUCUCUAAUAAAAUACGAAAAAUUAGCCGGGUGUGGCGGCAUGUGCCUGUAGUCCCAGCUACUCAGGAGGCAGAAGCAGGAGAAUUGCUAGAAUCCAGGAGGCAGAGGUUGCAGUGAGCCAAGAUCGCACAAGUGCACUCCAGCCCGGGCGACAGAGCGAGACUCCGUCACUAUAUAGAUAAAUAAAUAAAUAACAGGGCUGGGCGUGGUGGCUCACACUUGUAAUCCCAGCACUUUGGGAGGCUGAGGCAGGCAGAUCACCUGAGGUCAGGAGUUCAAGACCAGCCUGGCCAACAUGGCGAAACCCCAUCUCUACUACAAAUACAAAAAUUAGCCAGGCAUGGUGGCGAGCG
rnacentral:lncRNA from 1 species